rnacentral:tRNA from 1 species
CAGGGAGACAACAAAAUGUUUAAUAUUAUUAUUUUGUCACCUUAGGUCGAUCGGUAUCUCACGUUCUUAAUUUAUUAAGAAUUUCAUUUCCUAAGUUUUUCUAGGUCACACCCAUUAUUUUCCUGGGCCAUUAGCUCAGGUGGUUAGAGCGCACCCCUGAUAAGGGUGAGGUCCCUGGUUCAAGUCCAGGAUGGCCCAUAUCUCUAUGUUGGGGGUAUAGCUCAGUUGGUAGAGCGCCCGCUUUGCAAGCAGGAUGUCAGCGGUUCGAGUCCGCUUACCUCCACUGAUUACCACCUCUUCCAUAAUCUGUAGAAAGGAAAAUUUUGAGUCGUGAUUAUAAUCCUGAACGAAUCUAGCUUCCUAAUGUAACCAUUAAGAUGCUGGACUCAUUGAAUUAAUUUCAUUGUUUUCAGAGAACCUUGACAACUGCAUAGAUUAUUUUUAAAGACAAUAAGCAUCUUUAUUGAUGCAGAUUUAUUAUUUGUGCGAAUGCAUUAAUAACAAUUCUAUUAAGCUGAUGCUUCAAUUUUUGAAGUUAUC